AAAAGAGUGAGGCUGAAAGCCGGUGUGAUUCCCUCAAUCCAUGCCGCUCCAGCCGCAGCUUCGGGCUCAGCCACCGGCGGCAGUGGAGAUCACGGACCGGUCAGAGAUUCAACGAUUCGGAAACGUGAACUGUGCACUCUAUCCAGGUACAGACACAGACGGUCAGUGUGGGGACACAGACCGAACUCUGUGUAUCAUCAAUUCCACUGCCCAGUCCAGUACAAACAGAGGAUGAAUCAUCCUCUGUUUCAAGAGAUCAACCAGAUGACAGGUCAUGGAGUGAAGUGGAAGAGAUGAGCGUGUCAUCUUCUGAGGAGGAGUCAGAGCCACAGCAGGGUUCUCAGUGGGACUUCGGCUGAUGGCUCUCUUCACCAUUUGUCCUGCCUGUUGUGGGGAAACCCAUGGUAACGUGGAGCAGCAGCAGGGAACAUUUGUUCAGAUCAAGCA
ensembl:lncRNA